GAUGAACGCUGGCGGCGUGCUUAACACAUGCAAGUCGAACGGAGAGAAAGUGCUUGCACUUUCUCUUAGUGGCGGACGGGUGAGUAGCGCGUGGGUAACCUGCCCUAUGCAGGGGGAUAACAACGAGAAAUCGUUGCUAAUACCGCAUAAUAAAGAAGAGCUGCAUGGCUUUUCUUUCAAAGAUUUAUCGGCAUAGGAUGGACCCGCGUUGGAUUAGCUAGUUGGUGAGAUAACAGCCCACCAAGGCGACGAUCCAUAGCCGGCCUGAGAGGGUGAACGGCCACACUGGGAUUGAGACACGGCCCAGACUCCUACGGGAGGCAGCAGUGGGGAAUAUUGUACAAUGGGCGCAAGCCUGAUGCAGCGACGCCGCGUGAAGGAUGAAGGUCUUCGGAUUGUAAACUUCUAUCAGCAGGGAAGAAGGAGUGUCUUCGGACACUCUUGACGGUACCUGACUAAGAAGCACCGGCUAACUACGUGCCAGCCGCCGCAGUAA
rnacentral:rRNA from 1 species